rnacentral:rRNA from 1 species
CCCUUAGAUGUUCUGGGCGGCCCGCGCACUACAAUGGCGCUUUCAGCGAGUUCCUAUGUUGAAUUUUCCUGGGUAUUCUUGGAAGCGGCGUCUUGACUUGGGAUAGAUCCUUGUAAUUGUUGGUUUUGAACGAGGAAUUCCUUGUAAUCGCGGUUGAUCAGCUCGCGUUGAAUACGUCCCUGCCCUUUGUACACACCGCCCGUCGCUCCUACCGAUGAAUCGUCCGGUGAAGUUCACAGAGUGGCGAUUCGUGGAGUUGCUCGCGAAGUGAAAUGGACCUCACGAUUUAGAGGAAGGAGAAGUCGUAACA